GCGCGAAAACUUUACAAUGCGGGAAACCGCGAUAAGGGGACACCGAGUGCCAGCAUCCUAUGUUGGCUGUCCAUAUGUAUAAAUAACAUGUGUUAGCAAGGGCCGGGCAAGACCGGUGCCAGCCGCCGCGGUAACACCGGCGGCCCGAGUGGUGGCCACUAUUAUUGGGUCUAAAGGGUCCGUAGCCGGUUUGGUCAGUCUUCCGGGAAAUCUGACGGCUUAACCGUUAGGCUUUCGGGGGAUACUGCCAGGCUUGGGACCGGGAGAGGUAAGAGGUACUACGGGGGUAGGAGUGAAAUCUUGUAAUCCCUGUGGGACCACCAGUGGCGAAGGCGUCUUACCAGAACGGGUCCGACGGUGAGGGACGAAAGCUGGGGGCACGAACCGG
rnacentral:rRNA from 1 species